AAUUCUAAAAGGCGGGUUUUUCCACAUACUACAUUUCUGAAACUGGAAUACAUCUUUUAUAAUGGAGGUAUCUUACCAUAGGUCUAGACUAGAGGAGAAUUUUCCCAGAGAAGAUGUGCAUCUGCUUCUGCUGUCAUCUGGGAACACUAUCAGCCCAACACCAUCUGAAUUAAUCCUUUGUGGCAGGCAGACAUAAUCUUGCUCUGUCACCCAGGCU
rnacentral:lncRNA from 1 species